GGGACAGGGUUUUAUUAUCACCAGGAAUAAACGAUAUUAUCAUUGCUUCAAAAUCUUAUUCCACUGGUUUAGACAUCAUUAAGUGACUCAUUAGUUUAGACAAUGACCAAAACUCUGCUUCUCUUACUCAUUGCAUUAGUGCUAUUGUGUGUGUCCCUUGGAGAAACCAGUCCAGUGAGAUGCUGUAUGAAUUUCUCACUAAACCCUUUGCCUCUCAAUUGGCUGAAAGACUGCAUGCUGUAAUAUUUACCGUAGUGAAAGAUUUGUUCCAAUCCUGAUUCAUCAUGGGUUAAAAAUGCUGUGAAUUACAUUAGUAAGUUCAUCAUUAAACUGAUUGGUCUAGAAGUAUUUACAUCUAGAUGUGUUAAAGUUUUAUUUUAUUCAUCAGACCACCCAAUUUUUAGGCAAGCAAAAGUAUAGGAACAGAUAAGUGUUGGUUGCAUAUUCCUUGCUUGCAAUAACUGUGUCAAGCUUGCGAUUUAUUGAGAUCACCAAAUUGUUUUUUUUUUUUUUCCCAUUUGUGUUACUUUUCCAGGCUUUUACCAUAACCUCUUUCAGUUGUUCUUUGUUUCAGGGGGUUUCUCUCUUCAGUCUCCUCUUCAGGAGGUGAAAUGCUGCUCAAUUGGGUUAAGGUCUAAAAACCUUCCACUUUUUUCCCCCUCAAUGAAAUCCUUUGUUGAGUUGGCAGUGUGUUUUGAAUCAUUGUCUUGCUGCAUGAUAAAGCUCUUGCUGAUUAAUUUGGAUCUCUGUGAAUUGGCAGACAAAGUGUUCAUGUAAACUUCUGAAUUCAUUCUGCUGCUACCAUCAUGAGUCACAUCAUCAAUAAAGAUUAGUGAGAAUGUUCUAGAAGCAGCCAUGCAGCGCCCAAGCUGUGACACCACCUCCACCAUGCUCCACCUCCACUGAUGAGCUUGUAUGUUUUGGAUCAUGAGCAGAUCCUUUCUUUCUCCACACUUUGGCAUUUCCAUCACUUUGGUAGAGGUUAAUCUUGGUUCCAGGACUUUUG
ensembl:lncRNA